UGGGGAAUAUUGCACAAUGGGCGAAAGCCUGAUGCAGCGACGCCGCGUGAGGGAUGGAGGCCUUCGGGUUGUAAACCUCUUUCGCUCAUGGUCAAGCCGCAACUGUGGGUUGUGGUGAGGGUAGUGGGUAAAGAAGCGCCGGCUAACUACGUGCCAGCAGCCGCGGUAAUACGUAGGGCGCGAGCGUUGUCCGGAAUUAUUGGGCGUAAAGGGCUUGUAGGCGGUUGGUCGCGUCUGCCGUGAAAUCCUCUGGCUUAACUGGGGGCGUGCGGUGGGUACGGGCUGACUUGAGUGCGGUAGGGGAGACUGGAACUCCUGGUGUAGCGGUGGAAUGCGCAGAUAUCAGGAAGAACACCGGUGGCGAAGGCGGGUCUCUGGGCCGUUACUGACGCUGAGGAGCGAAAGCGUGGGGAGCGAACAGGAUUAGAUACCCUGGUAGUCCACGCUGUAAACGUUGGGCACUAGGUGUGGGGGCCACCCGUGGUUUCUGCGCCGUAGCUAACGCUUUAAGUGCCCCGCCUGGGGAGUACGGCCGCAAGGCUA
rnacentral:rRNA from 1 species